UACGUAGGGUGCAAGCGUUAAUCGGAAUUACUGGGCGUAAAGCGUGCGCAGGCGGUUAUGUAAGACAGUUGUGAAAUCCCCGGGCUCAACCUGGGAAUUGCAUCUGUGACUGCAUAGCUAGAGUACGGUAGAGGGGGAUGGAAUUCCGCGUGUAGCAGUGAAAUGCGUAGAUAUGCGGAGGAACACCGAUGGCGAAGGGCAAUCCCCCUGGACCUG
rnacentral:rRNA from 1 species